GACGAACGCUGGCGGCGUGCUUAACACAUGCAAGUCGAACGGAAAGGCCCCUUUGUGGGUUCUCGAGUGUUGGACGGGUGAGUAACACGUGAGUAACCUGCCCUUGACUUCGGGAUAACUUCAGGUUACUGGGGCUAAUACCGAAUAGGAAUACUUUUUGCAUGCUGGGGGUUGGAAAGCUUCGGCGGUUCUGGCUGUACUCGCUGGGUAUCAGCUUGUUGGUGGAGUAGUGUCUUACCAAGGCGUUGUCGGGUGGCCGGCCUGAGAGGGCGACCGGCCACAUUGGGACUGAGGGACGGCCCAGACUCCUACGGGAGGGAGCAGGGGGGAAUAUUGCCCGAUGGGCGGAAGCCUGAUGCAGCAAGGCCGCGUGCGGGAUGACGGCCUUCGGGUUGAAAACCGCAUUCAGCAGGGGCGAAGCUUGUGGUGACGGUACCUGCAGAAGAAGCACCGGCUAACUACGUG
rnacentral:rRNA from 1 species